rnacentral:rRNA from 1 species
CUACGGGGCGCAGCAGUAAAGAAUAUUGCGCAAUGGAGGCAACUCUGACGCAGCCAUGCCGCGUGCAGGAAGAAGGCCUUAUGGGUCGUAAACUGCUUUUAUUUAGGAAUAAACCCCCGAACGUGUUCGGGGCUGAAGGUACUAAACGAAUAAGCACCGGCUAACUCCGUGCCAGCAGCCGCGGUAAUACGGGGGUGCAAGCGUUAUCCGGAUUUAUUGGGUUUAAAGGGUGCGCAGGCGGGCUAUUAAGUCAGUGGUGAAAUCCCGGGGCUCAACUCCGGAACUGCCAUUGAUACUGAUAGUCUAGAGUUUGGUUGAAGUGGGCGGAAUGUAGCAUGUAGCGGUGAAAUGCAUAGAUAUGCUACAGAACACCAAUCGCGAAGGCAGCUCACUAAGCCAAAACUGACGCUCAUGCACGAAAGCGUGGGGAUCAAACAGGAUUAGAUACCCGGGUAGUC